GCUAAGACAAUUAGCUCCGUAUUUUGCUUAAAUCCUUGCACUUCGACGCAGCGUAAUCUAUCUUGAUUAUUUACAAAGUUCGCGAUAACAUCUUCUUCACUGAUUUCAUCAAGACUUGCGCAAACUUUAUAAUGACCAGAUUCAGCAUCAAAAACGAUGACAGAAAGUUCGCAUUCAGGUAGAUUCAACUUUUUCGAGAUUGAUAAGCUAACGUCGACGUACAUGAAACCUUGGUCAGAUACGUUUACGUGUACUCCAGUUAUCCUGGUGUCUAACGACGAAGAAGACCCUGACACUGCAGUUUCUUGAUUUUGUUGUAAUACUCGCUUAGAUUCUUCUAAUGUAAUUACAUCACUGCAACCCAAACCUAAAGAAACAUCAUCGUAGCUAUUUGGUACUAGGAGUACUACGCAAUAGCGAUAUUUAUGGCUUGGUUGUAAAUGUAAUGAAGCAGGUAUGGCGAUCGGAAGUGAACAAGGAUCUUUCAUCAUACGUGAGUCGCAAUGAAGAGAACUAGAAUCUGUUUGAACCUCGCUAUCACCUAUGGUUUCAUAUACAAUUAGGUGUUAAUUGAGCACCAGCUAGAGGCAGUCUGGUCAUGAUUGGCGGUGUCGGCUCACCACAAAGGAGGCUACCGGGAGAGACUUGCGUCAGUAUACCAUUUUCCAAAGCGGGUGGUGUUGCACAGACCGCUGAAGACUUAUCUUCUUCGUUCAAGCUGGAAUUACUUAACCAAUUGGCGAAUUCUAGAAGCGUACAAUCACAAUUCAAAGGAUUGUCGGCCAAGGAAAGUUUUGUAAGCCGUAACUUGGACGUUGGUACAUCGCUUGCCACCAUUGUGAUGUCAUUAUCAUCGAGACGCAAAUCUUGAAGACUUUUUAAUGGUACCACCAAGUCAGCAGUCAGAGAUCGCAAAAAAUUAUGCGUCAAAUCCAGAGUUACUAAUUUUUCUAAAUGUGCCAAAGAAGCGCUGGAUACCGCAACGAUGCGAUUAUUUGCUAGAUCGAGUCUAGUGAGAGUCGAUAGGUAUUUGAACGAAUGAUCCUCCAAUACAUCAAUCUGUGUAAAAAGUAAAAAUGAAUAAUAAUUCAUACUUAUAAAUUCAAAUUCAUAAUUUAUGAAACUCCGAUAUAAAUUACCUGAUUGUGGCUUAAACUCAGAUAAGUUAAAUUCUUUAAACCCACAAGAGCUCCUUGCUGUACAUUUAUUAGCUCGUUUUCAGACACAGUUAAGAAACGUAAUCGUGGCAUUUGAGGAAGAAGAUUUGGACCCAUUGGGCCCAACAAUAAAUUGUUGGACAAAUCAAGUUCCUCCAAACUUUUAAGUCCUCUGAGGGCUGAGAGUGCUGACACGCUUAAACGAUUACCGCGUAUCCUCAACGAACGUAGCAAAGGCAGUGCGACAAAAGCUUGAGGCGAUAAUUGCGACAAUAAGUUGUCACACAAAUCUAAAUCCAAUCUUUCUAAGCCGAUUAAAUGCGAUAAAGCUGCAGUAGGUACAGAAUCUAAUAAAUUGUUCGGAAGUCCAAGAGCUUGAAGAGGUGUUACAAGACCAAUAAAAGCAUUUUCAUGAACGCGUCUCAAUUCGCCGGUAGAAACGACGAAUCCGUGCAAGGCAACAUCCUCGAGGAAACGAGCUGGUAGCAUUGAGAUUCCCGUCACUGUUACAUCUAGUAAAGAGAUCGUUCCUGGACGGCUGAAUCUUAAGUGUUGACUGAUAAUCUACAUAAAUAACAUUCCAGUUAAAUAACUUGGCAUUUAAAUUAAUAAACUGAGACUGUGACACAAUUCUAAUAUAGCUAACAAAUAGCAACAUGCAAUAUUUGCAAUUAUUCAAACGAAGAAUUCAAUUAAUCUCGUGUUAAAAAUUUAAUUAACAAGAGUCAUUUGAUUCACGGAGAUAUUGUGAGACAAGAAUUAUUCGUCGAAGUGGUAACGGGACAUUCAACACAAAAUAGCGAGUAUGUAUGGGAUAGAAGAGGACAAUCACAAUAGUUACUUGGAAAAAUACAUACGAUCUGUAUUUCAUUCGUAGUGUAUACACCCACGCUCGCUUAGCAAAUACUUAAAAAAAAAAAAAAAAAAAACGGCUGACCUCGAUAAUAUAGACAAAUAAUAAGUUUGUUUAUUGUGUCGCAACGAAUGUUUUCUAAAAGAUAUAAAAAAGUGAUGUAAUAAAAACAUAAAUUUUGAGGAAGGAACCGAACAUUCAAAUUUGACUUUCGCAUUUAAUUAAACGUUGCUGUUCUAUCACCGGUGCAUCUUAAUGUGUGUGGAAAGUCGCAGGAACACUCGACGCCCGCUUUUGUAAUAUUUGGACAUUCCCAAACCAUAUCAGACGAAGGAAAUCACUCAUCAUUGCGUCUAUGCAAGACGCCAUCAUUGUUAACAAUAAAAUUAGGGAACAUCGUGGCGUCCACAGCAUUCUGAAAU